GCCCGGAUGGCGGAAUGGCAGACGCAACGGACUUAAAAUCCGUUGUCCGCAAGGACGUGCGGGUUCGAUCCCCGCUCCGGGUACCA
rnacentral:tRNA from 1 species